UACGGAGGGGGCAAGCGUUGUCCGGAAUCAUUGGGCGUAAAGCGCGUGUAGGCGGCCAGGUAAGUCCGUUCUGAAAAGCCCGGGGCUCAACCCCGGGAGGCGGAUGGAUACUGCUUGGCUCGAGUCCGGAAGAGGCGAGUGGAAUUCCCGGUGUAGCGGUGAAAUGCGCAGAUAUCGGGAGGAACACCAAUGGCGAAGGCAGCUCGCUGGGACGGUACUGACGCUGAGACGCGAAAGCGUGGGGAGCAAACAGG
rnacentral:rRNA from 1 species